UUUUAUACUUUUUAAUGAACGUUUUUAUAUAUAAAAUUGUAAUAUUACAUGCAUACAACAAUUUUAUAAUAUGGCCAAACAAAAAAUGGAUUAAACUUAAUUCUGGUGUUAUGACCUCACAGCAAGCUUCCUAACAGUAUAAUGUCUAACCAUGCACUGGGACAUUACGUCUGUGCAUGUAGUCUGGUAAAGAUAACCAACAACAAAAUAAAACGUUAAAGACUUAACUCAUCAAUAACAAAAUUAUAGAGUAAACCAUGAAAAGCAUGCAGGAUUAUUCACUGAAGUGAGAAUGAAGUACAAAGUAGCCAAAUUGGAAGAAUAGGAAGUUGUCACAGUUUGGCCUACAAUUUGAAAUUCAAUUGAAAUCCCCACAGGUGAAUAAGCUUGAAAAUAUAUUUAACACCUAAAGGUUCAAUGACCAUCUAAGACAUCAGAACAAUCUGAUUAUUAGUCCGUACCUCAAUCUCUGUCUUUUCUGGUCUACUGUCACCAUGCUGAGCAGCACUAGGACUUACAGGUGACAAUUGCACUGCUGCCAUUUUAACUUAAACCUAUCCCAAUAAUGACAUGGCAUGAGAAAUGUUCAGGGGACAGAAACAGCACAGCUAAGUAUCCCCUGUUCGUCUGCAGGUUUAUCAUCAUCAGCGAAGGAACUGAAUAAAUAGCAGGAGAUGCAGAUAGAGAGAGAGACUUGUGUCAUGAUGUUUCCUGUAUUUAUGCACUAGCUUUUAUAAGUAUAACUGUACCAUUAUUGGUAUACCUGUUUCUCCCAAGCAAGAAAACAGAAUUACUGCAAUGUAGCAACAAU